GCUUCUGUAGUGUAGUUCGGCCAAGCAUAUGAGGCUCUCACCCUUAUGACCCGGGUUCAAAUCCCGGCAGAAGCA
rnacentral:tRNA from 1 species